CAUGUGUUGUGACCUUGAACUUUAUUCGUGUAUGUUUUUGUUUGGGUGUUCCUUAUAUUUUGUAUGAAUGCUUCCUAUUCUUACUAAACAAGAUACAUCAAAACAGUAAUUGUCACACUACAAGCCAGAGAUACAAUGUUUGGAUGCAAACAAGAGGGUUUAUUGACAAUGACCAGGUAUCCAGGGGGGAUGAGAAUGGGAUCAUUGGAGAACAUGAUCAAUGGAGCUUCUAGGAGCAAGUAAACAACAGACUGCAGACGCCACCAAAUUCAGGACAAUUUCUUGUAUGCUGAGAGAGAUUAUGAAAAACGAAUGCCUCAGUCUCGCUUUCCACAAGCUUCCUACACACUGUCUAUUUAUCACCGCAGCUGAUAGAGAUAAAAGACGGCCAGAGUGUCUUGUUACUGUGGUGGGGAAACAGAGCUCAUACAUUACCAGACUUGUGUAAAAUGUCUGAACUAAUGGUUAUGUCUAAGGCUGGUAUUGCUUUAACAGGA
ensembl:lncRNA